rnacentral:rRNA from 1 species
GUGCCAGCAGCCGCGGUAAUACGAAGGGUGCAAGCGUUACUCGGAAUUACUGGGCGUAAAGCGUGCGUAGGUGGUCGUUUAAGUCCGUUGUGAAAGCCCCGGGCUCAACCUGGGAACUGCAGUGGAUACUGGGCGACUAGAGUGUGGUAGAGGGCAGCGGAAUUCCUGGUGUAGCAGUGAAAUGCGUAGAGAUCAGGAGGAACAUCCAUGGCGAAGGCAGCUACCUGGACCAACACUGACACUGAGGCACGAAAGCGUGGGGAGCAAACAGGAUUAGAUACCCUGGUAGUCCACGCCCUAAACGAUGCGAACUGGAUGUUGGGUGCAAUUUGGCACGCAGUAUCGAAGCUAACGCGUUAAGUUCGCCGCCUGGGGAGUACGGUCGCAAGACUGAGACUCAAAGGAAUUGACGGGGGCCCGCACAAGCGGUGGAGUAUGUGGUUUAAUUCGAUGCAACGCGAAGAACCUUACCUGGCCUUGACAUGUC